GUCUACGACCAUACUACCCUAAACAAGCCUAAUCCCGUCUGAUCUUGGAAGCUAAGUAGGGUCAGGCCUGGGUAGUACAUGGAUGGGAGAACACCCAGGAAGACCAGGUGCUAGGUG
rnacentral:rRNA from 1 species